AUACGGAGGGAGCAAGCGUUAUUCGGAAUCACUGGGCGUAAAGGACGCGUAGGCGGGUUUGUAAGUCAGGUGUGAAAUCCUACAGCUCAACUGUAGAACUGCACUUGAAACUACAGACCUAGAGUAUGGAAGGGGCAGAUGGAAUUAGUGGUGUAGGGGUAAAAUCCAUAGAUAUCACUAGGAAUACCGAAAGCGAAGGCGAUCUGCUGGGACAUUACUGACGCUGAGGCGUGAAAGCGUGGGGAGCAAACAGGAUUAGAAACCCGAGUAGUCC
rnacentral:rRNA from 1 species